UACGUAGGGGGCAAGCGUUAUCCGGAAUUAUUGGGCGUAAAGAGCUCGUAGGCGGUUUGUCGCGUCUGCCGUGAAAGUCCGGGGCUCAACUCCGGAUCUGCGGUGGGUACGGGCAGACUAGAGUGAUGUAGGGGGAGACUGGAAUUCCUGGUGUAGCGGUGAAAUGCGCAGAUAUCAGGAGGAACACCGAUGGCGAAGGCAGGUCUCUGGGCAUUAACUGACGCUGAGGAGCGAAAGCAUGGGGAGCGAACAGG
rnacentral:rRNA from 1 species